GGACACUCUAGAGCAAACUUUUUCUUUUAGGUGUAAAAUUCACCUGGAAUUGAUUCUAUAUUUUGGUAUGGUAUGAGGUCUCUACAUGAAUGUCAUCUGCUCAGAGAAGCUUGCCUCAACCAAAAUAUCAUCAUUGUUUCUUAUAUCCCCAGAGCCUAAAAGAAUUCUGAAUAAAUACUUGCCCUUCAAAAUA